AUCAAGGUAGUUGCACGGUCUGGUGCGUUACGUGACAAUUGAUUGGCUACCGUGGAUCACCUAUCACCGAUCGGUUUGCACUUGAGAACGGUCACGGCGAUCAGUUUUGUCUCAGCUGCCAUAGAGGUCGGACCUACUCUGUUAUCACUUACCGAAGGCCAGACCAACUUCGUGGACAAACCGCCAAGUCCAAAUCUGACGAAAGCAGCCAAGCAGUCAAUCAACCAAGCAGCCAAGCAGUCAAUCAACCAAGCAGCCAGUCAAUCAGAUGAGCUGCCUCUCAGAUGCUCUACCGGUAAAAUGAUCGCAGUGAUGCAAGUCAGCGAUCGGUGAGUCGCAUGCUUUACGAUUCCUCCGGUUCCCAUCAUGUCGUAGGACGAAUGGUCCGAAGC